UACGAAGGGGGCUAGCGUUGCUCGGAAUCACUGGGCGUAAAGCGCACGUAGGCGGCUUUCUAAGUCAGGGGUGAAAUCCUGGAGCUCAACUCCAGAACUGCCUUUGAUACUGGAGAGCUAGAGUCCGGAAGAGGUGAGUGGAACUGCGAGUGUAGAGGUGAAAUUCGUAGAUAUUCGCAAGAACACCAGUGGCGAAGGCGGCUCACUGGUCCGAUACUGACGCUGAGGUGCGAAAGCGUGGGGAGCAAACAGG
rnacentral:rRNA from 1 species